AUUGAACGCUGGCGGCAGGCCUAACACAUGCAAGUCGAGCGGAUGACGGGAGCUUGCUCCUUGAUUCAGCGGCGGACGGGUGAGUAAUGCCUAGGAAUCUGCCUGGUAGUGGGGGACAACGUUUCGAAAGGAACGCUAAUACCGCAUACGUCCUACGGGAGAAAGCAGGGGACCUUCGGGCCUUGCGCUAUCAGAUGAGCCUAGGUCGGAUUAGCUUGUUGGUGAGGUAAUGGCACACCAAGGCGACGAUCCGUAACUGGUCUGAGAGGAUGAUCAGUCACACUGGAACUGAGACACGGUCCAGACUCCUACGGGAGGCAGCAGUGGGGAAUAUUGGACAAUGGGCGAAAGCCUGAUCCAGCCAUGCCGCGUGUGUGAAGGAGGUCUUCGGAUUGUAAAGCACUUUAAGUUGGGAGGAAGGGUUGUAGAUUAAUACUCUGCAAUUUUGACGUUACCGACAGAAUAAGCACCGGCUAACUCUGUGCCAGCCGCCGCAGUAACAC
rnacentral:rRNA from 1 species